AGGAUACAAUGAUGAUAACAUAGUUCAGCAGAUGUAUGGUGAUGAAUACUGGUUUUGUCUUUCGCUCCUAUCUGAUGUAUCUG
ensembl:snoRNA